AAACUGCGAUAAGUAGUGUGAAUUGCAUUUAGUGAAUCAUCGAAUCUUUGAACGCACCCUGCACUCACUGGUAUUCCGGUGAGUACGCCUGUUUCAGUAUCAUUGAAAACACACAAUCAAAACAUUUUCUUUGGUUUGAUUGGCUUUGGGUCUAUCAAAAAGUUUGGCUUGUUUCUUACAAGCCAAGCGGCCUGAAAUAUAUUGUCUGGCUAAUUGCAUCGUUGAUGAUCGCUAUUAGACUUUGGCUCUUUUAAAUGAACUGGAGGUUGAUUAACCAGUUUUAGCUUUAGUCAAAUGGUCAUUGUAAAAAAAAUCUCGAUCUUGGCUAGGUGUUUAUAGCCGAAAAUUUUUUUUUGGCUAUAACCGAAACCAAUAUAAUCACAUUUAGUUAUCGAUCUGAAAUCAGGUGGGACUACCCGCUGAACUUAAGC
rnacentral:misc_RNA from 1 species